rnacentral:rRNA from 1 species
GACGAACGCUGGCGGCGUGCUUAACACAUGCAAGUCGAACGGAAAGGCCCUGCUUUUGUGGGGUGCUCGAGUGGCGAACGGGUGAGUAACACGUGAGUAACCUGCCCUUGACUUUGGGAUAACUUCAGGAAACUGGGGCUAAUACCGGAUAGGAGCUCCUGCUGCAUGGUGGGGGUUGGAAAGUUUCGGCGGUUGGGGAUGGACUCGCGGCUUAUCAGCUUGUUGGUGGGGUAGUGGCUUACCAAGGCUUUGACGGGUAGCCGGCCUGAGAGGGUGACCGGCCACAUUGGGACUGCGAUACGGCCCAGACUCCUACGGGAGGCAGCAGUGGGGAAUAUUGCACAAUGGGCGGAAGCCUGAUACAGCAACGCCGCGUGCGGGAUGACGGCCUUCGGGUUGUAAACCGCUUUCGACUGUGACGAAGCGUGAGUGACGGUAAUGGGUAAAGAAGCACCGGCUAACUACGUG